UAUUUUUUUUUCUCACCCGAACCUCUCCUUCUCUCUCGCGAACGGCGGCGGCGACUUCGCUGUUCGGGCGAAAAGGGCGACGGAGCUAGGCUUUUUCCGGCCGGUCUUCACCUGUGUGUGACCACCAUCGUUGAGGAGAGUCUGUGAGCAUGAAGAAGAGCCGAAAUCCAAGCUAUCCGAAACCCUAGCAGCAUUAGAAGCUCCUCCUUUUCGGUUGUAAGUCCAAGAACAGCGAUAUAAAGGUAAAGAUAAAGGAAAAACUAAAGUAUGAAAGGAAGGCGACAAGGAGCUGAUGGAGGUGUGAUGUGUGGACUAUGGAAGCCUUGGGACUAAGUUUUAGAAAUCUAUAAAGACUUGUAUUUAGACUAUUGGAGUUUUUGCCACCAUGUGAUGAUUUGGUUUAGCUUCUUAGAUGUUUUAUGUUUUAUAUUUAUUAGAACUGCGUGGUUGUUUGUUUAAUAUGAUUGUUAUAUAUGUAUCCAUGAUUAUUGUCA